rnacentral:rRNA from 1 species
AGUGAACGCUGGCGGUAGGCCUAACACAUGCAAGUCGAACGGUAACAGGUCUUCGGAUGCUGAUGAGUGGCGAACGGGUGAGUAAUACAUCGGAACGUGCCUAGUAGUGGGGGAUAACUACUCGAAAGAGUGGCUAAUACCGCAUGGGAUCUACGGAUGAAAGCAGGGGAUCGCAAGACCUUGUGCUACUAGAGCGGCCGAUGGCAGAUUAGGUAGUUGGUGGGAUAAAAGCUUACCAAGCCGACGAUCUGUAGCUGGUCUGAGAGGACGAUCAGCCACACUGGGACUGAGACACGGCCCAGACUCCUACGGGAGGCAGCAGUGGGGAAUUUUGGACAAUGGGCGAAAGCCUGAUCCAGCAAUGCCGCGUGCAGGAUGAAGGUCUUCGGGUUGUAAACUGCUUUUGUACGGAACGAAAAGCCCUGGGUUAAUACCCUGGGGUCAUGACGGUACCGUAAGGAUAAGCACCGGCUAACUACGUGCCAGCAGCCGCAGUAA